GAUGAACGCUGGCGGCGUGCCUAAUACAUGCAAGUCGAGCGAACAGACGAGGUGCUUGCUCCUCUGACGUUAGCGGCGGACGGGUGAGUAACACGUGGAUAACCUACCUAUAAGACUGGGAUAACUUCGGGAAACCGGAGCUAAUACCGGAUAAUAUAUUGAACCGCAUGGUUCAAUAGUGAAAGACGGUUUUGCUGUCACUUAUAGAUGGAUCCGCGCCGCAUUAGCUAGUUGGUAAGGUAACGGCUUACCAAGGCAACGAUGCGUAGCCGACCUGAGAGGGUGAUCGGCCCCACUGGAACUGAGACACGGUCCAGACUCCUACGGGAGGCCGCAGUAGGGAAUCUUCCGAAAUGGGCGAAAGCCUGACGGAGCAACGCCGCGUGAGUGAUGAAGGUCUUCGGAUCGUAAAACUCUGUUAUUAGGGAAGAACAAAUGUGUAAGUAACUAUGCACGUCUUGACGGUACCUAAUCAGAAAGCCACGGCUAACUACGUG
rnacentral:rRNA from 1 species